GACGAACGCUGGCGGCGUGCCUAAUACAUGCAAGUUGAGCGCUGAAGGUUGGUACUUGUACCAACUGGAUGAGCAGCGAACGGGUGAGUAACGCGUGGGGAAUCUGCCUUUGAGCGGGGGACAACAUUUGGAAACGAAUGCUAAUACCGCAUAAAAACUUUAAACACAAGUUUUAAGUUUGAAAGAUGCAAUUGCAUCACUCAAAGAUGAUCCCGCGUUGUAUUAGCUAGUUGGUGAGGUAAAGGCUCACCAAGGCGAUGAUACAUAGCCGACCUGAGAGGGUGAUCGGCCACCAUGGGACUGGGACACGGCCCAAACUCCUACGGGAGGCAGCAGGAGGGGAACUUCGGCAAUGGACGAAAGGCUGAACGAGCAACGCCGCGUGAGGGAAGAAGGGUUUCGGAUCGUAAAAAUCUGUUGGUAGAGAAGAACGUUGGUGAGAGUGGAAAGCUCAUCAAGUGACGGUAACUACCCAGAAAGGGACGGCUAACUACGUG
rnacentral:rRNA from 1 species